rnacentral:rRNA from 1 species
AUGAACGCUGGCGGCAGGCCUAAAACAUGCAAGUCGAACGCUUGUAGCAAUACAAGAGUGGCGCACGGGUGAGUAACAUGUGGGAAUAUGCCUUUUGGUACGGGACAACUCCGGGAAACUGGAGCUAAUACCGUAUGGUCCUUUCGGGGUAAAGAUUUAUCGCCAAAAGAUUAGCCCGUACUGGAUUAGCUAGUUGGUGAGGUAAUGGCUCACCAAGGCGACGAUCCAUAGUUGGUCUGAGAGGACGAUCAGCCACACUGGGACUGAGACACGGCCCAGACUCCUACGGGAGGCAGCAGUUAGGAAUAGUGGACAAGGGGCGCAAGCUUGAUCCAGCCAUGCCGCGUGAGUGAUGAAGGUUUUCGGGUUGUAAAACUCUUUAGCCGACGAAUAUAAUGACUGUAGUCGGAGAAUAAGCCCCGGUUAACUUCGU